AAACUGAAGACUUGCCUGUUUACAGGAUCAAUGUAAUCAAGGAUCAAUGUAAUCAGGAUCAAUGUAAUACGGGACAUGAUUAGUAUGGAGAGUCCCUGUAGCCUUCUGCUUACCUCUUGGAUGUGGCAGUACAUGGAAAGCAUCCUGAACCCCUCCCUCCAAAAGGAGCGUGUAAUCUGCAAGUGCACCGAGAAGGGCUUUGGUGACUGGAGAGGUCAUAGCACGAGUCCCUGGAACACAGAGAUCACAGAUCGUGCGAGGACUGAACCCACUGUUACCAUGGGGUUCCUGGCACAGCAAGGCUGGAGCCUAUGCGGAGAGAAGACAUCCGAGUAUAAGAAAACAAUCUGAAGGAAAUAUUUUAAUUCUCCACAAGACCUCUCAGUGAAGAGCCCUGAGUGUGGCUGACACGUGCACAAAGGUGGAAGAAGUUAAAGGGCACUGGAAAGAAGAUCAGAGGAGAUUGGUAUUUCUUGGCAGACAGCCUGGGGGUUGGAGAGUAGAGGAGGUAUGGGGAAGAGAUUUCUUUUUGUGCCUGCUUAUCUUACGCUUGUUGAAAUUGGCAAGUGACUUCAGUGGAGAAGAUGCAUGGUGCUUUUUGGUUCUUUCCACAGCUAUGACCACUCUAACCUGUGUGUGAAGUGGGGCAAAGUUGGUUCCUACAAAGCUACAUCUGCUGACUGCACACAGACCCUCCAAAAAACCUGUUGACAACUAGCUGAAAUGUACUUAAAGACCAAGUCCAAAACAGCAUGCUUUUUUUACCCUUGCUGUAAAGAGUUUCUUCCAGUCUCGCUUGUUAUGAAAUCAAGAAUUGUCAUACGUGGUUAUAGACAUACUUAUUACUUUGGUUUGGAUACCUCACCUCUGAUGGUAGUGCAAUAUUUCAGUAUAAAGAAUAAGAAUCUCUUCCUGAAAACAACAGGCAGAAAUUAUUCACAUAGAUAAGACCUAAAAUUGUAAUUCAUAACAUCUUUCUUGCUUCCUUGGAGAAAAGAACUCCCAGCCUAAUAAUUAUUUUCCAAUUAAGAAGAAAAAGAGAGUGCUAUUUUUAAGGAGACACUUUGUAUGUUUCUUCUAAUUCCUUUUUUUUUUCUUUUUUAUUUGAAAUCAUGAUUAAAUUUUAAAUUUAACUUCUUUUGAAGUUGCACACUGUAAAGAAGAUUUAGGGUUCUUAAAGAAAGUUUGUGUUUUAAAAUGAGCUAACCAAACACAAAAAUGCCAGGAAUAUUUUAAGUAAGACCUCAUUAGGUAAAGACCAUGACUGCAAAUAUUUGUUGCCUCUCUGCAGGCUCAUCGUGUUUUUAGAAGAGGAUUUAUAUAGGCUAACUCAUUUUUCUGCUUCAGCCAUUUGGACACUCAGCAAAUUUCUUCAGCUUCUCUAGUUUCUCCCUGUUUGCUCCCUCGUAGAACACACCGCUCGUUCUUUAUCCUGUGAAAUUUCACUGAGGUUAUAGCAGCUCUUAGAUGCAAGAAGCAAAAUAAAUAAAGGCAAGAACAAAACCCCAACCUCUUUUUUCUUCUGCCUUCUCCAGUCUUAUAUUUUCACUGCAUGCCGGUGGUAUGUGGCUGUUCUUAAUCUCAAAAGCUAUGACGCAAAACAUAUGAGGACAGCUUCUGGUGAACAAAGCGAAAUGACAGCUCCGGGCCCCCAGUGCCUGCCGCUGGUGGUACUGCUCACAAGAAACAAAACUAUGGGGAGGAAGGGGGAGGAGAAUCCCUUUUGGGAAUCACUCUCAUUAUCCUUCCCCAAGGCAGAAUUCUGCUGAAUCACUCACCCUACUCAGUCCCUGAAGGUUCAUUCUUAUGGGAUGAUAUUGGCAACCUCCUACGAAUACAGGAUGAGGCUGUCAUGCUUUUAUCUGCAAACAAACCUACUAAAUGAGCACGACUCCCUCUACAGUAGUAAAGGUAUCACAAUCCAGUUCAUAAAAAUGAACACGUAGGUUCUACCCAAAGGAGUUUACAGUCAGAUCAGACUCAGGCAGCAAAUUUUAUUCUGCCUGUUUUCCAACACACCUGUAAGCUCCAGUACUGUCUUGUGACAAAUCAUAUCCUAUUUUAACGUAAUAUGAAAUGCAAAAAAAAGUAUCUGAUGAUUUUUUGCAGUUGCUUGUGAUUCCCUUGUUAUCCUUCGAGAAUUUCAAAGGAAGUGGCAAUUUAAAAAAUGAGAAAUUGAGAAAAAGGAAAGAAGAAGAUGCAGUGAAGUGGCUGCACAACAGUGUAACUGGGGAUGAGGUGCAAAAAGGUAUCGGAGCUCCAGUUCCUGGAAUUCCAGCGUGACUUGAGCAAUUCAGAUUGUAUUGCAAGAAAAAGUUAGUUCUGGCAUUCCCUUGCAGAGAGUGAUUUGAAAACCUGACUCACAACCGUCCUGCAGUCUCAGAAACAAGGUGGCAGCUCCCGUCUAAAUCUACAGACAGCACUUCAUGUAUGAAUCAUUUCUUGGUGACUUGCAAAACUCUUCUGAGAUGAGAAUCAGGAACACUGCUUUAAGGAGGAAAUGGAGAUGUACAGUCAGUGUGCACAGAAGACAUGGCAAGUAGGCUCCAAAGACAGAGCAGACUUAAAAGACACCCUCCGCACUAGAAUUGCCCCGGGACUCUGCUGAAGAAAAGAAGCUCUUGAGCAACUUGCAGAAUCGCCUCUUCCAUUGUUUCUGAAGAAUUCUUUUCACUGCAUUCCUCGGGCUGUCAUGAAUUGCACAACCAGCUCUUCCAGCUCGAGCAGAGCUGAACCUGAGAUCUGUAUCUUCCGACAGAACAGUCAUUAACUUAGGUCGUUACUGUGCACACGUACAUGCGUGCUAAACGAUCCUUAAAGAUCCUUAGAGUUAAGAAAACUUGAAAGUCUUGAAAGUAAGAUGAAGUAGGAACACGCCAACCCACCUUGCCUGUUUACUAUGAGGCAGUCUUUAAUUCCAUACUAAUUUUAUGAUUUCAUUUCAUUUCAUUUCAUUUCAUUUCAUUUCAUUUCAUUUCAUCUCAUUUCAUUUCAUUUCUCUAAUGUAUUUUGAAUCCAGUCGUAAGAAUACAGUGAAAGCAUGAGCUAUAUGUAAUGUGAAAUAUUUGUUUUCACUAGCCCCCUUCAGCUGCUUAGUGGAGCAUGCUAAGGUCUGGAGCUUUUUGGGAUCAUUGCCAUUAAACUAAGUAG